GCCUGCAGCCAGAGAGGCAGGAGCUCUCUAAGCCACGAUGCGAGGAGAAGCCUGACUGCAGGAGCACUAGGGCACAUUUACAGAAGUGAUCACUACAGAAAAAACGAGACAAACAUUAUGUGCCGCAGUCUGAGAAGGAAGCAGACAUAUCCCACGCCUUAAAAAAAAUAGCUAUUGGAAGUUCUUCCAUUUUAGGUUUGCAACCCAGCAUUUCAACUUCUCGCAAAGCACAGCCUCUCGGCAAGUUGGCAGGGUUCGGCGGUCUGACCAGCUCUCCCGCUCGCCACGCGCGAGUGUCUACAUUUAUGUUCAGUUACUGAAUGCAGAAUUGAGAGCCUCAAUUGUCAGGAAAGGUGACGGGUGGGGAGCAUCGCGCUCAGAGCAAGGUGCAAAUGACCUUAACAUAAGAGAGAGGAAAACUGAAUACUAUAUUUUGUGCUGUGCGUGUCAUCCUUAGCGUUGGCUUGGACGAGUGGGAAGAGCCGCAUGAAGUAGGAUGCUCUACUUGGAAACCUGUAAUGGUGCGACGGCAUCUUGGACAUUUGGGUUGCUUCAGAUGCCUUGUUUUGCAUCUGGAUCUUCCAUUUGCAGCCCGACAAGAGCAGCAGGCAGGGUUUCGUCUUGAAGUCUGCAAAGUGGUGCAUUUCCUGAGACAAUAUCCGCUCCAAGGCCAGGCCUCUUGCCCCAAGCAUGCCCCCAGGGGAGCACAUGUGCUGGGAUAUCUGGCCUGUGGAGCCACAGCGUUGGUAUUGCCAUGCGUGUUUCCCUUCGGAAAGAGGAUGCUUGGCGCGUGCAUUCUUGUACGCUCCUACAAAGACCAAAUCAGCCGUGCAGGGGCUUGCUGACAUCUGUUUCUCUGCAAUAAUCCUAUGCUACGUACUAAUAAAACCCACCGUGCUUCAAAUCCACCAGGAGAAAUGCUGCUUAUUACUGCAGACAAAUGCGCUUCCUUCC